GAGCGGCCAUCUUUCCGCGCACGCAACUGGUGCCGGGCGGGCCGGCCGGGGUGGGACGGCACAUCGCGGAGCGAGACGGGCCACCAAGCCGCCCGUCUCACUCCACAGGCCUCUCCCGCGCCCGACUCGGUGGCCACGGCCCGCGGGCCCCGCCUCGCCGGACAUGUGCGCUGGGACGAGCGGGCCUCGCCGCCACCCUCCGCGCCUCGGGGCGGUCCCUCAACCCCGACGACCUCGAAAAAGCCCACCCUGUCGAGAUCGGGACCAACCUCCGCUGAACUAUCUCAACACAGCAGGCCUUUGUUUCCUGAAAGGAAGAGCUGAUAGUGAUUGAGGAAAACAAAUUUGGAAUGAUAAAGAACUUCCCAUUCAUUCCUCACAAUCUGUGCACUUACCAGUUUACACACAUUCUUAUAUCUUUCUCUUACUGCCACAUCCCUCCUCAACAAGGUCUGAAGCCUUCAUUAGGACUACGACACAAUCCUUAUUCUUGCUGACAUCAAGAGUCAUGUUUUUAUAAAUAAAAUAUCUUAAUCCAAUCAAAA